CGGAGGUGGCAAGCGUUGUUCGGAAUUACUGGGCGUAAAGGGCGCGUAGGCGGCUAGGCAAGUCAGGUGUGAAAGCCCCGGGCUUAACCCGGGAAUUGCAUCUGAAACUGCUGUGCUUGAGUUCUAGAGGGGGUAGUGGAAUUCCCAGUGUAGCGGUGAAAUGCGUAGAUAUUGGGAGGAACACCUGCGGCGAAGGCGGCUACCUGGACAGAAACUGACGCUGAGGCGCGAAAGCUAGGGGAGCGAACGGGAUUAGAUACCCCGGUAGUCCUAGCUGUAAACGAUGGGCACUUGGUGUUGGGGGUAUUGAGUCCCCCAGUGCCGGAGUUAACACGUUAAGUGCCCCGCCUGGGGAGUACGGUCGCAAGACUG
rnacentral:rRNA from 1 species